GAAGGAGAGGGAGAGGGAGCAAUCAAGGAUGACUCCCAGGUUUUCAACCGGCUCCACUGGACAACGGACACGGCCAUUUCCUGGGUAGGGGAUCGUGGGGAGGGGCCCAGGCUUGAAGUUUGGUGGGAAUCUGAACACUUUCUUGGAUAUAUCGAUUAGGAGAAGCUUUGAAACAACCCAAUGAGGACUUGCGUGGGUAAGGGGAUGCUCAGGUGUGCAGCUCAGAGGGGAGGACUGGGUUGAGAGGGGGAGCUGGCCUUGAUCUUUGUGCAGGUGGAAAGAUGCUGCGAGUGUGGCUGAAAUGACCUGUGGAGAGCUGUGGAGGGGGCAGGGAAGGGGUUGGGGCCCAGCUUAGAAGACACCUGCAGGCUAGUGGUCAUUCUGAGGAGAACGGAAAUGCAAAGGGGAGAGCGGGGCUGCCAGACAGAAAGGAGCAGAGAGAGAGGUGCCUCGGAGGCCCCAGGAGGACGUAUUUCUAGAAGGGAAUCUUGCUCUGUGGAGAGAAGGAGGUCAAGAAAGACCAGGAGUGAAGAGUGUCUAUUAAAUAGGGCAACAGGUCAGUCCUCAACCUAGAGUACCUCAGUGUGCUGUCACCAGGAGCUGGGUGGGUUAGAGGAGGAAGGAGGAAGUGGGGCCAGGAAGCAGUGUUGAGGGGCUUCUGGAAGGUCCUGGAAAGGGACGGGAUGACUCAGUUGUAUGGCAUAUCCUUUUGUUCUUCCUUGUUAGCCUCCUCCUACUUCCUGCUGGGCAUCUGAAUGUGACAGGGGGGUAAUAGCAGUGGCUAUCUUGGGGCCAGGAUGAGAAGCCCUAGAGACUUCUGUGUUAAUACCCUUGAGCUGCUGAGCCAGUGUCAGCUGCUCCCCAGCUCCAGAGUUUGCUUUACUUGAGAAAAACAAAAACCCAGGUGCUGUUUGCAGUUGAAGAUAGUUUGCAGCUGAUACAGCAUGUCACCUACACUGUUUCACUUAAUCCCCUAAAUUGCCUUUUGAGGUAGUAUUGUAGUUUUCUAUUUCACAGACAAGGAGAUCAAAGCACAGAGAGGUUAAGAAAGUAGGAUCUUAAGUGGCAGAACUCAGUACCCCAUCCACAGUACUGGGGAUUGAACUUAGUGAGACACUCUAAUACUGAGCCGUAUCCCUAGCCCUUUUUCUUUUUAUUCUGAGACAGGAUCUCACUAAGUUGCUGAGGCUGGUCUGGAUCUUGGAUCCUCCUGCCUCAGCCUCCAGAAUAGCUGGGAUCACAGACACGCACCAUGCUCCUGGCUCAGAGCUGACUUUUAAAAAAAAUAGUGUCCUACUCAAGGCCAUGUGCAUAACUCCUGGGAUUUACUUUAUCGAUAGCUAUUAUUGCUAUUAUUGUUUUUAUGGUCUUCAGCCAUCUCAAAAGAUCAUUGGGUGGAUCUUUUUUCAGUAAGGGAGGCAUGUAGUAGGCAUUUAAUACAUGCUUUGAAACACCUUACCUAGAGAUUCUUUCUGUACUUCUUCUGUUAUAUAUUUUAUGGAGAUGGUAGUAUGGCUUUGAUAGUGAAAAUAAUUUCUAACACUGUAAUUCCACAAUUCCAUUUUACAUGGAGGUUUAGUGGUUCAUAAGUAAAACAUUCUUCCAGCUCAGGAUCACAGGGGAAAAGUGCUGAAAUCAGAUAAUCAGCGCUGCUGGAAUAGGGAACCCAGCUCCAUUUGCACAGUUGUAAACAUCUUUCAGGCCCAGUGAUGGACAUGUGCACCCAGCCAUCAUCUUCAUUGCUGUUCUGUUAAGCGUGAUGUCACUGAGGGAGAUCAAGAAAUCACCCAGUUCCAAGCAGAACAGAAAGUCUGUCCAAGUCGUGCAAAUCUUAUUUAAAAUCCUCGCUGUCAGCCGUGAGGAAAGUCUCUGCAGUCACAUCAAAGAACCAGAGUGGUUUGCAAAGAUUUUUUUUUUUAUUACUAAGCUGUUACUAUAAACAUGCUUUUACCCAAAUAGAGCAAAAAUAUGCAAUUUCCUGAAAAUGGGAGCUGGAAAUCACACCCCCAGAAAAUCCAUAAGUACUGUUGAUGAUCCAUUUGUUAGCAUUUCAAUGUGCAUUUAAAAGGGAAAGGACCAGAGCGCCAGUAUGGACCCACAGUUAGCAGAGCUACUACCUGUUCUCAAUCUAUUUAAUAAAGAAAAUUGCCUAUGGCAGCGGCUUCUUCUUCUUCUUCUCCUCCUUCUUCUCCUUCUCCUUCUCCUUCUUCUUCUUCUGAAAAGCUUAGAAUUCAUUAAUGCGGUUGUUUUACUUAUACUUUAAGUACUGGUUUCAUUUACAUAUCCUGAAGACUUUAUAAGAAGAGGGAGAGAGGACAGAGGAGAAACACACACAUACACAUGCAUGCUCCCUGUCUCUUGCCAUGUGAAGACUUGUGCUACCUCAGAAUUUUGCCAGCAAGAAAACCACUACUGAAUAUGGCCCCUUCACCUUGGACCUCUAGAACCAUGAGCCCAAACAACCCUUUUUCUUUAUAAGUUCAUCUAGUCUCAGGUAUUUCAUUAUGGUAACAAAAAUGGAAUUUUUGUUAGGGUCUAACUGCUUCUUUGAGUUUUCAUUUUCUUUGUGAGAGCUCCCAUGUACAUGUAAAAAUUACUAAAUAAAAUUUGUAUAUGUUUCUCCUGUUAAUUGAGCUUUUAUCAGUUUUCUUGAUAUCAGAAAUUUUUGGGUCUAGUCAGAGACUUUAAGAGGAUAAAUUUUGUCUUCUCUACAAAAUUAAAAAAAGUUACCAUGAGAAGAUGUUCCAAAUCAUUAGUAACAUGAGAAAUGCAAAUUAGAACAAGAUAGAACUGAUAAUUUAAGGCUAUUAGAAUGGUAAAAUUAGACAGCUGGACUUGCCACCUGUUUGUGGGGAUAUGUGGGGUGUAGGAACUCAUGCUCUGCUGGUAGGGGUUAGUCUGUGCAGCUGCUCUUGAGAGCAACCUGGUGGUCUUUACCAAGUUAAAGAUGUGCAUAUCCUGUGACCCACCAAUGUUGAUCGUGUGUGUUGGUCUCUUUGAGAGCCAUGUACAGUUGCUCCUCAUCUUACCAUUGGGUUAUGUCCUGAUAAGCCCAUUGUAAGUUGAAAAUGCACUAAAUACACCUAGCCUCCUAAGCAUCUAGGACGAUGCCUGUUUUACAAGAAAGUGUUGAAUGUGUCACGUAAUUUACUGAAUAUCUGUAUCCCCAAACCAUUGGUCACAUAGUACCCUGUAGAGCAUCCGUCAUUUCUCUUCCAGAUCCUACGAUUGGCUAGCAGCUGCAGCUCUCUACCACUGCCCAGCAUAGCAAGAGUAUCAUACUGUGCAUCAUCAGCCCAGGGAAAGCUCAAAAUUCAAAAUACACAGUACAGUUUCUACUGAAUGCAUAUUGCUUUCACAUCCUUUUAAAGUGAAAAAAUUUUGAGUCGAACCAUUAUAAGUUCAAGACAGUCUGUACAUGUGUAUAUGCGAUUGUUUUUAUUUACCUGGAGAAUGCUGAUUAAUACAGAUGAGAGAGAGGGAGAGAGGGACUUAUCUUAAGGAAUUGUCUCAGACGAUUGUGGAGGCUGAUGGUCUGUAUUCUGCAGGGUGGGAAGGUAGCUGGAAAUUCCGGCCAGAGUUGAUGUGGCAUUCUUAAGUCUGAGGUCUUUUACUCAGGCUUAGAAUUUCUUUCUCUAUGGGAGACCUCAAUCUUUGCUGGUAAGGCCUUCAGCUGAUUAGAUGAAAUUCAUUCACAAUAAGAGUAAUCUGCUUUUUUUAUUAAAAAAACUCUACUGAUUUGUAUGUUAAUCUCAUCUAAAAAAUUCUUUGAGGUGGUCUCUCUACUGGUGUUUCACCAAACACUGGGCGCCACAGCCUAGCCAAGUUGACACAUAAAAUGAAUCAUCACAAUAUCUGUUAUAGGCUGAAUUUUACCCCUCUGAAAUGUACCCAUUGGAGUCCAAACUGCCAGUAUAUCUUUAUUCAGUGUGUAAGUGUAUUUGGAGAUAAGGUCUUUUUUUUUUUUUUUUUUUGGUACCAGGGAUUGAACCCAGGGGCACUUAACCACUGGGCCACAUUCCCAGCCCUUUAUUAUUUAUUUAUUUAUUGGUUCUUUUCAGUUACACAUGACAAUAGGAUUCAUUUUGAUAUAAUUAUAAAAGCAUGGAAUAUAAUUUGUUCUAAUUCAGUCUCCAGUUCCUUUCUCUUCCUCCGGUUCUCUUUCCUCUAUUCUACUAUCUUUCUGCUAAUAUAGUUUUUUUUUAAUUAGUGUCUUAUGGCUGUACGUGAUUGUGAGAUUCAGUGUGGUAUAUUCAUGUAUUUACACAGGAAAGUGAGGUCAGAUUCAUUCCACUGUGUUUCCCUAUCCUUUCCCUCUUCCCUUCCCUUCAUUUCCCUUUUUCUACUCUACUGAUCUUUCCUCUAUUCUUUUUUAACCCCCCCCCCAUAUUAAAUUAGGUUCUUUGUAUCAGAGAAAACAUUUGACCUUUGACUUUUGUGGACUGGCUUAUUUCAUUUAGCAUAAUAGUCUCCAGUUCUAUCCAUUUACCAACAAGUGCCAUAAAGUCAUUCUUCUUCAUGGAGUAAUACUCCAUGGUGUGUGUGUGUGUGUGUGUGUGUGUGUGUGUGUAUCUCUGUGUGUGUGUGUGUGUGUGUGUGUAUCUCACAUUUCCUUUAUCCAUUUAUCUGUUUAAGGGCACCUAGAUUGGUUCCAUAGCUUGGCUGUUGUGAAUUGUGCUGCUAUAAACAUUGAGGUGGCUAUGUCACUGUAGUAUGCUGAUUUAAAGUCCUUUGGAUAUAUAUUGAGGAGUGGGAUAGCUGGGUCAAAUGAUGGUUUCAUUCCUAGUGUUUGGAGGAAUCUCCAUACUGCAGUCCUUUUUAUUUUUUAUAUUUGAGAUAGGGUCUCACCAAGUUGCUAAGGGACUUGCUAAGUUGUUGAGGUUGUUCUCAAAUCUGCAAUCCUCUUGUCUCAGCCUUCCAAAUCACUGGGAUUACAGGUGUGCACUUCCACGACUGGCAAUAAGUUCUUUAAAGAGGUAAGUUAAAGCCAAAGACUUUAGGGUGGGUCCUAGUCCAAUAUGACCAAUAGGACCUUAUUAGAAGAGGAGACUUGGACAGACACAAAAGGAAAACUGUGUGAAGACAUAGGGAGAAGGUCGUCAUCUGCAUGCACCAGAGAUGUGCUCAGAGAGACCAACCCUGCCAACGCCUUGACCUUGGACUCUUUGCCACCAGAAUUAUGGAAAACAUAUUUCUGUAGUUUAACCAACCCUGUCUGAUAUUUUGCAAACAGGGCCAGUGAUGGACAUGCGCACCCAGCCAUCAUCUUCAUUGCUGUUCUGUUAAGCGUGAUGUCACUGAGGGAGAUCAAGAAAUCACAUUCUACAGAACUGAACAGGGCUGAUCUUUUGUGUAGCAGCUGGAAGGGGGUAGAGAGAAAAAAGGGAAAUGGGACCAAGGUUUCAGAUCUCCUGGGUUCCCUGUGUCCUCAGGCAUGCAGGUGGCAGGAACUCUCCAGGUGGCAGGAGGACUUUGUGUCUUGGAGUCACGUGAACCUUGGCUAUAUGGGAAGCCCCCUCCUGCCUACCCACCAGACUUUGGCAACUGGGGCUCAGAGGAUUCUGGGACUCCUGGGAUUCAAGGCCAGUGGAAGUGUCCUCUACAGAGUACAAGGCGUCUCCCUUCAUUGAGAAAACAGAGCAAAUGGCUUCCUCCCCAUCUGGAGACUGAGCCUAUGUGGGGAGGGAUCAAAUAAAUAUUUCUCACCUCUGCCCUUCCCAGCCAAGAUUCUGGCCUCAGCCUGGACAUUCUCUGACUAGCUCCAUCUGCAUAAACAAGCCUGCCAGAUGUGCGUGUUUGAAGCCUUCAGUCAUUCACACCUUAUUAGAGUUAAAAAUAAAUAAAAAUCUAGUUUACUUAAUUACUGCUAGUUGAAAUGUGCCCA
rnacentral:lncRNA from 1 species